UUACCGAGUGAGGGCCCUCUGGGUCCAACCUCCCACCCGUGUUUAUUUUACCUUGUUGCUUCGGCGGGCCCGCCUUAACUGGCCGCCGGGGGGCUCACGCCCCCGGGCCCGCGCCCGCCGAAGACACCCUCGAACUCUGUCUGAAGAUUGAAGUCUGAGUGAAAAUAUAAAUUAUUUAAAACUUUCAACAACGGAUCUCUUGGUUCCGGCAUCGAUGAAGAACGCAGCGAAAUGCGAUACGUAAUGUGAAUUGCAAAUUCAGUGAAUCAUCGAGUCUUUGAACGCACAUUGCGCCCCCUGGUAUUCCGGGGGGCAUGCCUGUCCGAGCGUCAUUGCUGCCCUCAAGCCCGGCUUGUGUGUUGGGCCCCGUCCUCCGAUCUCCGGGGGACGGGCCCGAAAGGCAGCGGCGGCACCGCGUCCGGUCCUCGAGCGUAUGGGGCUUUGUCACCCGCUCUGUAGGCCCGGCCGGCGCUUGCCGAUCAACCCAAAUUUUUAUCCAGGUUGACCUCGGAUCAGGUAGGGAUACCCGCUGAACUUAAGCAUAUCAAUAAGCGGAGGAAAAGAAACCAACAGGGAUUGCCCCAGUAACGGCGAGUGAAGCGGCAAGAGCUCAAAUUUGAAAGCUGGCUCCUUCGGGGUCCGCAUUGUAAUUUGCAGAGGAUGCUUCGGGAGCGGUCCCCAUCUAAGUGCCCUGGAACGGGACGUCAUAGAGGGUGAGAAUCCCGUAUGGGGAUGGGGUGUCCGCGCCCGUGUGAAGCUCCUUCGAC
rnacentral:rRNA from 1 species